AACGAACGCUGGCGGCAUGCCUAACACAUGCAAGUCGAACGAGACCUUCGGGUCUAGUGGCGCACGGGUGCGUAACGCGUGGGAAUCUGCCCUUGGGUUCGGAAUCACAGUUGGAAACGACUGCUAAUACCGGAUGAUGACGUAAGUCCAAAGAUUUAUCGCCCAAGGAUGAGCCCGCGUAGGAUUAGCUAGUUGGUGAGGUAAAGGCUCACCAAGGCGACGAUCCUUAGCUGGUCUGAGAGGAUGAUCAGCCACACUGGAACUGAGACACGGCCCAGACUCCUACGGGAGGCAGCAGUGGGGAAUAUUGGACAAUGGGCGAAAGCCUGAUACAGCAAUGCGGCGUGAGUGAUGAAGGGCUUAGGGUUGUAAAGCUCUUUUAGCCGGGAUGAUAAUGACAGUACCGGGAGAAUAAGCUCCGGCUAACUCCGUG
rnacentral:rRNA from 1 species